GACCCUUUCGGGUUAUAUGGUCAAGCGAUUAAGCGCAUACGGUGGAUGCCUAGGCAGCCAGAGGCGAUGAAAGACGUGGAAGCCUGCGAUAAGGCUCGGCGAGGUGGCAAACGACCUGUGACCCGGGCAUUUCUGAAUGGGGAAACCCACCCAGCACCAGCUGGGUAUCCCACACUGAAUACAUAGGUGUUGGGAGGCGAACCGGGGGAACUGAAACAUCUAAGUACCCCGAGGAAAAGAAAUCAACCGAGAUUCCCCUAGUAGCGGCGAGCGAACGGGGACCAGCCCUUAAGCGUGUGACUGAUUAGACGAACGAGCUGGGAAGCUCGGCCAUAGUGGGUGAUAGCCCCGUAGUCGAAAAUCUGAUCACGUGAAAUCGAGUAGGUCGGGGCACGAGAAACCUUGACUGAACAUGGGGGGACCAUCCUCCAAGGCUAAAUACUCCUGGCUGACCGAUAGUGAACCAGUACCGUGAGGGAAAGGCGAAAAGAACCCCGGAGAGGGGAGUGAAAUAGAUCCUGAAACCGUAUGCGUACAAGCAGUGGGAGCAGACAUGUUCUGUGACCGCGUACCUUUUGUAUAAUGGGUCAGCGACUUAUAUUCAGUGGCGAGCUUAACCGUAUAGGGGAGGCGUAGCGAAAGCGAGUCUUAACUGGGCGACCAGUCGCUGGAUAUAGACCCGAAACCGGGCGAUCUAUCCAUGAGCAGGUUGAAGGUUGAGUAACAUCAACUGGAGGACCGAACCAGGAUCUGUUGAAAAAGAUUUGGAUGACUUGUGGAUCGGAGUGAAAGGCUAAUCAAGCCCGGAGAUAGCUGGUUCUCCUCGAAAGCUAUUUAGGUAGCGCCUCACGUAUCACCGCCGGGGGUAGAGCACUGUUUCGGCUAGGGGGUCAUCCCGACUUACCAACCCGAGGCAAACUCCGAAUACCGGUGAGUGCAAGCGUGGGAGACACACGGCGGGUGCUAACGUCCGUCGUGAAAAGGGAAACAACCCAGACCGUCAGCUAAGGUCCCGAAAUCCUGGUUAAGUGGGAAACGAUGUGGGAAGGCUCAGACAGCUAGGAGGUUGGCUUAGAAGCAGCCAUCCUUUAAAGAAAGCGUAAUAGCUCACUAGUCGAGUCGGCCUGCGCGGAAGAUGUAACGGGGCUAAACCAGGUACCGAAGCUACGGG
rnacentral:rRNA from 1 species